UACGGAGGAUCCGAGCGUUAUCCGGAUUUAUUGGGUUUAAAGGGUGCGCAGGCGGGAUGUUAAGUCGGCGGUGAAAUUUUGCGGCUCAACCGUAAAAGUGCCUUCGAAACUGGCAUCCUUGAGUAUGGAUGAAGUAGGCGGAAUUCGUGGUGUAGCGGUGAAAUGCAUAGAUAUCACGAAGAACCCCGAUUGCGCAGGCAGCUUACUAAACCAUAACUGACGCUCAUGCACGAAGGCGUGGGGAUCAAACAGGAUUAGAUACCCUGGUAGUCCACGCAGUAAACGAUGAUUACUGGCUGUUUGCGAUACAAUGUAAGCGGCUGAGCGAAAGCGUUAAGUAAUCCACCUGGGGAGUACGUUCGCAAGAAUGAA
rnacentral:rRNA from 1 species